rnacentral:rRNA from 1 species
GAUGAACGCUGGCGGCGUGCUUAACACAUGCAAGUCGAACGAAGUUUAGAGAGCUUGCUUUUUAAACUUAGUGGCGGACGGGUGAGUAACGCGUGGGUAACCUGCCUUUCACAGGGGGAUAACAGUUAGAAAUGACUGCUAAUACCGCAUAAGCGCACAGGACGGCAUCGUCUAGUGUGAAAAACUCCGGUGGUGAAAGAUGGACCCGCGUCUGAUUAGCUAGUUGGUGAGGUAACGGCUCACCAAGGCGACGAUCAGUAGCCGGCCUGAGAGGGUGAACGGCCACAUUGGGACUGAGACACGGCCCAAACUCC